rnacentral:rRNA from 1 species
UGGGAACGCGAAGAACCUUACCAGGGCUUGACAUCCUACUAAUGAAGCAGAGAUGCAUUAAGUGCCCUUCGGGGAAAGUAGAGACAGGUGGUGCAUGGUUGUCGUCAGCUCGUGUCGUGAGAUGUUGGGUUAAGUCCCGCAACGAGCGCAACCCCUAUUGUUAGUUGCUACGCAAGAGCACUCUAGCGAGACUGCCGUUGACAAAACGGAGGAAGGUGGGGACGACGUCAAAUCAUCAUGCCCCUUAUGUCCUGGGCCACACACGUAAUACAAUGGCGGUCAACAGAGGGAUGCUAAGCCGUGAGGUGGAGCGAACCCCUAAAAAGCCGUCUCAGUUCGGAUUGCAGGCUGCAACUCGCCUGCAUGAAGUCGGAAAUCGCUAGUAAUCGCGGAUCAGCAUGCCGCGGUGAAUACG